rnacentral:rRNA from 1 species
GGGUAAAUGGCGGGGAUCUUGAAUGAGCACUGCCGCGUGACUAUGACGGCCUUCGGGUCGUAAAGCUCUGUUGUCAGGGACGACAAUUGCCGCUUGAUAUGGCGGGCCUUGCCGUUCUUGCGGAACCCGGCUUACACAUGCCCCAGCCGCGAUAUAA